rnacentral:rRNA from 1 species
GAUGAACGCUGGCGGCGUGCCUAAUACAUGCAAGUCGAACGAAACUUCUUUAUCACCGAGUGCUUGCACUCACCGAUAAAGAGUUGAGUGGCGAACGGGGGAGUAACACGUGGGCAACCUGCCCAAAAGAGGGGGAUAACACUUGGAAACAGGUGCUAAUACCGCAUAACCAUAGUUACCGCAUGGUAACUAUGUAAAAGGUGGCUAUACUACCGCCUUUGGAUGGGCCCGCGGCGCAUUAGCUAGUUGGUAGGGUAAAGGCUUACCAAGGCAAUGAUGCGUAGCCGAAUUGAGAGGUUGAUCGGCCACAUUGGGACUGAGACACGGCCCAAACUCCUACGGGAGGCAGCAGUAGGGAAUCUUCCACAAUGGGCGAAAGCCUGAUGGAGCAACGCCGCGUGGGUGAAGAAGGUCUUCGGAUCGUAAAACCCUGUUGUUAGAGAAGAAAGUGCGUGAGAGUAACUGUUCACGUUUCGACGGUAUCUAACCAGAAAGCCACGGCUAACUACGUG